rnacentral:rRNA from 1 species
UACGAAGGGGCUAGCGUUGCUCGGAAUCACUGGGCGUAAAGCGCACGUAGGCGGACUCUUAAGUCAGGGGUGAAAGCCUGUGGCUCAACCACAGAAUUGCCUUUGAUACUGUUUGGCUAGAGACCGGAAGAGGUAAGUGGAACUGCGAGUGUAGAGGUGAAAUUCGUAGAUAUUCGCAAGAACACCAGUGGCGAAGGCGGCUUACUGGUCCGGUUCUGACGCUGAGGCGCGAAAGCGUGGGGAGCAACAGG